CAUAUAUAUAUGGAUAGACAUGUAUAAGUUGUUUCAUGUACCUAACAAGGCAAACUUGAAGAGUGAAGGCUGCUCAAGCUAAUAAGAAUUAAGAUGAAAGCCUUUGCUUAUGUUCUGAUCGUUCUCUUUAUUUUCUCCAUUGACAUCGACAAUGGAAGGUUGUUGAAAGUAUCAGAGGCAAGAGAGUGUCAACAAACACAGAGUGAAGGAGGCUGUAUAGAAAACACAUGCAACAGCGACUGCAGGAGAAUACAUGGAGGGCGAGCAUCUGGUCAUUGCAAUGCGAUAGAAGAUUGUAUUUGUUAUUAUCCAUGUUAAAUUUGUGCUCUUACUUUUACAGCAUUGUCUCCUUUUCAAUAAAUAUUUAAAUAAUGAUGGAUCUACAUGUAGAGGUGUGGAUCCCAUUAAACCAAUAAAUAUAUAUAUGAAUUUACAUAAUGCUUUUAUUACAUAA